CCUACGGGUGGCAGCAGUGGGGAAUAUUGCACAAUGGGGGAAAGCCUGAUGCAGCGACGCCGCGUGAGUGAAGAAGUAUUUCGGUAUGUAAAGCUCUAUCAUCAGGGAAGAACAUGACAGUACCUGACCCAGAAGCACCGGCUAACUACGUACCAGCAGCCGCGGUAAUACGUAGGGGGCAACGGUUAUCCGGAUUUACUGGGUGUAAAGGGAGCGUAGACGGUUAUGUAAGUCUGGAGUGAAAGCCCGGGGCCGAACCCCGGGACGGCUGUGGAAACUGGGUAACUGGAGUGCAGGAGGGGCAGGCGGAAUUCCUGGUGUAGCGGUGAAAUGCGUAGAGAUCAGGAGGAACACCGGCGGCGAAGGCGGCCUGCUGGACUGAAACUGACGUUGAGGCUCGAAAGCGUGGGGAGCAAACAGGAUUAGAUACCCCAGUAGUC
rnacentral:rRNA from 1 species